rnacentral:lncRNA from 1 species
UUUGAGGCAGCUACCAGAAGGGAGCACCAAGCAGAUGCAGCUCCCCUUCCCUCCCAUUCCACCAUCCACUGUCCCCAGCAAGAACCUGCGGGAGGGUGGCCCAAUGGGGAGAAAACUAAGGAUUCGGUGUUGGGACCACUCCUGCCCUGACCUGCCCUGUGACUCCGUCAUACUCUCCAAAGGCCAGACCCUCCUAGACCAGCUGGAACCACCAUCAAGAUGUCCCCAGCCAUGUCAGACUCUGGGGCCCCAGGCGGAGGGCAACCAGAUGUCUUCAGCUCCAAGUCUGGCCUCUCCUCCCAGCAAGCAGCCAACUGCAGAGACCUUGGAAAGGAUCAACCAUAUACAAUGUCCAUUUCCUGCCCUCUAACCUGGCAGGGGAGCAAGGCCCAGCCAAGGAGUUACAGAAACUGAGGCUUGGCCAGGCGUGGUGGCUCACACCUGCAAUCUCAGCACUGGGAGGCCAAGGUGGGCAGAUCGCUUGAGCCCAGGAGUUUGAGACCAGCCCGAGGAACAUGGCGAAACCCCAUCUCUACAAAAAAUACAGAAAUUAGCCAAGUGUGGUGGCACGUGUCUGUAGUUUCAGCUACUCAGGAGGCUUAGGUGGGAGGAUCACCUGAGCCUGGGAGGUAGAGGUUGCAAUGAGCAGAGAUUGCUCUCCAGCCAGGGAGACAGAGUGAGACCCUGUCCCAAAAUAAAUAAAUAAAUAAGAAUAAAAUUUAAAAAAGAAACUGAG